AUUUAGUCAGAAAAUAAUCUGACUAAAGCAGAUUUAUAUUCAAUAUAAAUAAUUCUAAAAAUAUGACAGCUUGCAACUACACAGAAGUAUUAUAAAUAUUAAAAAAACAAUAAUAUUAAGUUAUAUUACCAUUUCCUGAUUUCUAUGGUCUGCUUGGGAUAUUAUUUCUUCCCAUAAAAACAUUACACCCAUAAUAUUCAUAGUCAUUUAGCUUCUCAUUAAAUUCAAUCUUGUUAGUCUUUUGAUCUAUAAAUCUAGGAGGCUCACAGGCAAUUACACAUAGAAAGUGUACCACCAGAAUUCAAUUUAAAUCACCAGUUAUAACACUAAGCUAUCAGAUUUUAAAAACUCUUUUAUCCCAUGGACUAAAAUAACUUUUCUUACAUAGUUAGUCUUUCAUAUUUCACCAAACAUUUUUUAUUACCUUUAAUGUAAUAAAACACUAGGUGUCACAGAUAUAAUGACAAAGACAUAGACCUUAUUGGAAUUCAGUCCACUAGGUAAGAUCAAAAUAAAACCAAAGAAUUACAAUAUAUUGUGAUACAUUUUUUAUAAAAGAAAUAUGUACAUAUUAUAUCCUGAAGGAUGAAAAGUGAUCAAACAAAGCUGGAUGAAUUAGAGCGGUUUCGAAGAAUGAGAAAAAGGAUUUAUAAAAGCAUGAAAAUAUUAACAGUAUUGUCUACUCAUUAAAAACAGAUAGCUUUUUCAGCUAGAAAUGCAUCUUCCAGUUAAUUCGCCAAAAUGACUAACACAGAGGGAAAGAGGAGAGACACCUACCAUAUAUUCCCUAAGUCUUUUAGAAAACAUAGAGUUGCUCCUUUGGCCACAUACAUGGGAAUCUACAAGAAAGGUGUGGUAUUACAGACAUCAAGGGAAUUGGCACUGUUCAGAAAGGAAUGCCCACAAAUGUCCCCAUGUCAAAACUGGAAGAAUCUACAAUGUCAUCCAGCAGUGGACACUGUGCACAAAACAAGGGCAAGAUUCUUGCCAAGAGAAUUAAUGCACAUAUUGAGCAUGUUAAGCACUCUAAGAGCCGAGAGAGUUUCCUAAAAUGUGUGAAGGAAAAUAAUCAGAAAAAGAAGGAAGACAAAGAAAAAGGCACCUGGGUUCAACUGAGGCAUCAGCUGGCUCCACCCAGGGAUGCACACUUUGUGAGAACCAACGGAAAAGGGCCUGGGCUGCUGGAACCUAUUCCCCUUGACGUUGUGACAUGAUAAAGUGUAAAAAUAUUAAAAGACACUCUACUGAUAAACACACACACACACACACAGCUGAAAUGAAUGGAGUAUAGGGUCAUGAAGCCAAAAGUGGUGGGAAAUGAAUUUAAAGAUGUAUA